rnacentral:rRNA from 1 species
CCUACGGGAGGCAGCAGUGGGGAAUAUUGGACAAUGGGCGCAAGCCUGAUCCAGCCAUACCGCGNGGGUGACGAAGGCCUUCGGGUUGUAAAGCCCUUUUGUUGGGAAAGAAAAGCAGCCGAUUAAUACUC